GCGGAAAAAAGGCAAACUUGUCGAAAGAUAGGGGCGCAAAGCCAUGGGCCUUAGUCGCAUCAGCGAUAUGGCAGCCGGUUGCUAAU
rnacentral:ncRNA from 1 species